GACGAACGCUGGCGGCGUGCUUAACACAUGCAAGUCGAACGGAAAGGCCCUGCUUUUGUGGGGUGCUCGAGUGGCGAACGGGUGAGUAACACGUGAGUAACCUGCCCUUGACUUUGGGAUAACUUCAGGAAACUGGGGCUAAUACCGGAUAGGAGCUCCUGCUGCAUGGUGGGGGUUGGAAAGUUUCGGCGGUUGGGGAUGGACUCGCGGCUUAUCCGCUUGUUGGUGGGGUAGUGGCUUACCAAGGCUUUGACGGGUAGCCGGCCUGAGAGGGUGACCGGCCACAUUGGGACUGAGAUACGGCCCAGACUCCUACGGGAGGCAGCAGUGGGGAAUAUUGCACAAUGGGCGGAAGCCUGAUGCAGCAACGCCGAGUGCGGGAUGACGGCCUUCGGGUUGUAAACCGCUUUCGCCUGUGACGAAGCGUGAGUGACGGUAAUGGGUAAAGAAGCACCGGCUAACUACGUG
rnacentral:rRNA from 1 species